GAAAUGCGAUAAGUAAUGUGAAUUGCAGAAUUCAGUGAAUCAUCGAAUCUUUGAACGCACAUUGCGCCCGCCAACACUCUGGCGGGCAUGCCUGUUCGAGCGUCAUUUCAACCCUCAGAACCCCUUGCGGGAUCUGGCGUUGGGGAUUGGCAUCCAGCCAGCCCCGAAAUCUAGUGGCGGUCCCUCCGCGACCUCCCCUGUGCAGUAGCGAUACCUCGCAGCGGGACAGCGGUCUGACCACGCCGUAAAACCCCCAACUUCUCAAGGUUGACCUCGAAUCAGGUAGGAAUACCCACUGAACUUAAGC
rnacentral:misc_RNA from 1 species